rnacentral:rRNA from 1 species
GACGAACGCUGGCGGCGUGCCUAACACAUGCAAGUCGAGCGGGGGGAGUACUUCGGUACAAACCUAGCGGCGGACGGGUGAGUAACACGUGGGUAACCUGCCUCAAAGUGGGGGAUAGCCUUCCGAAAGGAAGAUUAAUACCGCAUAACCCAUAGCUUCCGCAUGGAAGCAAUGGUAAAGAUUUAUCGCUUUGAGAUGGACCCGCGGCGCAUUAGCUAGUUGGUGAGGUAACGGCUCACCAAGGCCACGAUGCGUAGCCGACCUGAGAGGGUGAUCGGCCACAUUGGAACUGCGACACGGUGCAGACUCCUACGGGAGGCAGCAGUGGGGAAUAUUGCACAAUGGGCGAAAGCCUGAUGCAGCAACGCCGCGUGAGUGAUGAAGGCCUUCGGGUUGUAAAGCUCUGUCUUUUGGGACGAUAAUGACGGUACCAAAGGAGGAAGCCACGGCUAACUACGUGCCAGCAGCCGCUGUAACAC